AAUGAUGCAAACUUUGAGUCUAAGUUGAAUUUAUUGAAAAUAUAUACAACUUGGGUGUUGGAGAGUUUUUCAUUUGAAGAUUGUAUCAUGAGGACAAAGGGGUUUGAUCAAGCUUACUUUUGGUUAACUUUUUCAAAGUGAUUCGAACAUGUUUUACACUUGAACUUUCCAAGCCAGUUUUGAUCAAUUUUCACAUGUCAAAUGUUUUUUUCCCAACAUUACUUUUAUUCCUUACCUCAUUUCUUGAUUUAUU
rnacentral:lncRNA from 1 species